CCCCCCCCCCCCCACUUCUACCUAAGACUGAGGAGGGAAUGUGGGCCAGAGCACACUGAGUAUGCACACACCAAAGAGUUCAGUUGAUUAGUUUUCCUACUUGGAUUUCUAGGUUUUGAAACCUGCACAUGAAUCAAAAAGUAAAAUUGUACAUGAAAGAUCAGAUCAAAAUUCAUUAUUGCUACUCCACCCAGAACAAUGCACUUGUGAUAAUUAGCAUGAAAAUGUUUCAAUAUUCUAUUAGAACUAGUAUAUAUAGAUAUAAAUUAUUUUUUUUUAGAGGGCACGUUAAUUAAGUGUCAAAAUUAAUCCAAGAAAAAUAAAGUUUCAGUGUCAAUGCAGUGUGUUUUUGCAUGUAACAUUGAGCUCAUUUAUUUGUUUGUAGGCAUAUUUUACUCAGGAUGUUUACUGUAUAAAGUCAUACUGACUAGACAUUUUGACAAUUACUUUAAAUCACUGAAUAACUCUGCAAACACAAUAUAUGUUUAUUACAAUUGAUAAAAAAAAACACCUAAAGAAUGACAUUCACAACUGGCAAUAUUGAUGAAAAGAGGAAAUAAACUAUUGUGACUGGUUCUAAAGUAAUUGAUAAGAAUUUCUUAGCAGUAAAAAUGAUCACAAGCAUACUACUUAAUUUUUUUGUAAACUUAAUUCUUUAGAUACUUUUGUUAACAGUUAUGUAAAUUGUUCUAUUUAAAGUAUGUUAUGAAAUUGUUUCUCUUUGUCAGAGUGAUAGUACUUUACAGUUUGUUUGACAUUCUUAGGAAAUUAACAGCAUUCUUUGUACAUAUGUUUGUGGUGUAUGUGUUUGAAUUUAUCUUACCUGCUGAUGACCAAAACUAUUGCCAUUCCAAUUGGACUUGAUCUUGUACCUAACAGUAAUUGGUCUUUAUCAUGAUCAAAGUAACAUUUCGAUAAUGGGCAAUAAACUCUUCAAUGGAAUAGCUC